rnacentral:rRNA from 1 species
GAUGAACGCUGGCGGCGUGCCUAAUACAUGCAAGUCGAGCGAACAGAUGAGGAGCUUGCUCCUCUGACGUUAGCGGCGGACGGGUGAGUAACACGUGGAUAACCUACCUAUAAGACUGGGAUAACUUCGGGAAACCGGAGCUAAUACCGGAUAAUAUAUUGAACCGCAUGGUUCAAUAGUGAAAGACGGUUUUGCUGUCACUUCUAGAUGGAUCCGCGCCGCAUUAGCUAGUUGGUAAGGUAACGGCUUACCAAGGCAACGAUGCGUAGCCGACCUUAGAGGGUGAUCGGCCACACUGGAACUGAGACACGGUCCAGACUCCUACGGGAGGCAGCAGUAGGGAAUCUUCCGCAAUGGGCGAAAGCCUGACGGAGCAACGCCGCGUGAGUGAUGAAGGUCUUCGGAUCGUAAAACUCUGUUAUUAGGGAAGAACAAAUGCGUAAGUAACUAUGCACGUCUUGACGGUACCUAAUCAGAAAGCCACGGCUAACUACGUG